rnacentral:rRNA from 1 species
GACAGAGGUGGCAAGCGUUGUUCGGAAUUACUGGGCUUAAAGGGCGCGUAGGUGUCCCGACAAGUCAGAUGUGGAAUCUUUCCGCUUAACGGGAAAAUUGCAUUUGAAACUAUCGGGAUUGAGUCAGACAGGGGAUGGCGGAAUUCCAGGUGUAGCGGUGAAAUGCGUAGAUAUCUGGAGGAAGGCCGGUGGCGAAGGCGGCCAUCUGGGUCUGAACUGACACUGAGGCGCGAAAGCGUGGGGAGCAAACAGG